UUGUAAGCAGUAAAAAAACUGGCAGAAGAAACAAGCUAUUUAUAACAGAAAAUAACAAAACCACACCCGCCAAACUAAUCUAGAUCAAUGAAAAUAAUAAUGAACAAUUAGAUCCUGUUCUUCUCUAUCAAUACUUUUAAUUUUAGUCACAAAUAAACAAGACAAGCAGACGGUGCUUCGGAGAUGAACAAAAACCCGUAGAAUGAUGAAACUAAAGCGUCUGUUUGCAAAUUAAUGUAAAUUUAAUCGAAAUAGAAUAAAAAACUAUACACAAAAUAACAGAAAAGUUGUAAAAAUCUUCUAAAUACUUAUCGUUGUUGAACAUUUUGUAAUAGCCAUAUAACCACAAAAGAACGUAAUGUUUUUGUUGAUGGGCUUUUGGUCUUCUAGUAAAAUUUUUUCUUAGGGUGUCUUCUGACGUUACAAACCGUAAAUCUAGCGUUGAGUCAACGGACAACUAUUGCCACUAUUCAGGCAAUUCAAAACAAUUCUUAAAAACUUGCACAGUAAAUUAUUUAAAAGAGAUUUGUGCAGCUGAAAUGCAAAUUGAACGAAAAAAUAGGAAAAAGCAGAGAAACUACCCCCACAAAAUGCUUUCAAUCGGUAAAGAUAUUGUUCAUCUUAUAUUGUUGAUAUUCACAGUUUAUGGUUUAAACCAAUCCUUACUCAGAUUCACACUGCAGGAGACUUGCUCGGCUCUGAUUGUAUGUAUUAACUGAAGAAUGCGCAACGAAGCACAUUUUAACAAAGGCAACUAACGGCAGCGCCUGAUAGUAGUUGUGUAGUUCUACAUUGAGCUUAAAAGACUCAUUUUCUUCCUGAACACAAGAAAGAGUUGCCAUGAAGUUAUUUCUAAGAAAUGUGGCGAUAUUGUGAUGAUAAUGGUUGAUCUAAUGUUGUUGAAUACAAAGGGUGAUCAAAAGAAAAAGCCUUCGCUUCCAGACAAUUCCAAGAGAAAAUACCCGUGCUUCCUGACAUAUCGGUUGGUCUAGUUGUUGGCUGCAAAGGCCGAUCAAAAGAAAACGCCUUCGCUUCCAGACAAUUCCACGGAAAACAUUCUUUCUGUUGAUCCUGACCUAUCGGUAAGUAUAAGUAAAACAAUUCAAAGAAACUUAGGUAAAAUACGUGUAAGAAGUAGGCAACUCUCUAUUGUUCUGCGGUAAUUGCAACUUCUUAGGGCUCCCAUUGAUAACAGUGCACAUGCAACUG